rnacentral:rRNA from 1 species
UACGAACGCUGGCGGCGUGCUUAACACAUGCAAGUCGAACGGAAAGGCCCUGCUUUUGUGGGGUGCUCGAGUGGCGAACGGGUGAGUAACACGUGAGUAACCUGCCCUUGACUUUGGGAUAACUUCAGGAAACUGGGGCUAAUACCGGAUAGGAGCUCCUGCUGCAUGGUGGGGGUUGGAAAGUUUCGGCGGUUGGGGAUGGACUCGCGGCUUAUCAGCUUGUUGGUGGGGUAGUGGCUUACCAAGGCUUUGACGGGUAGCCGGCCUGAGAGGGUGACCGGCCACAUUGGGACUGAGAUACGGCCCAGACCCCUACGGGAGGCAGCAGUGGGGAAUAUUGCACAAUGGGCGGAAGCCUGAUGCAGCAACGCCGCGUGCGGGAUGACGGCCUUCGGGUUGUAAACCGCUUUCGCCUGUGACGAAGCGUGAGUGACGGUAAUGGGUAAAGAAGCACCGGCUAACUACGUG